AUGCUGGAUGAGGAGGACACUGACAAAGACGGGAUGAGUUUGGAGGUCGACACUCCAGUGACGAACCAUCGGGGUGACGACGACGAUGACGAAGAAGAUCUCCCCGAGAUAGUGCUGGAUGACGUGCCUGCGGUGAGGGUGGCGGGACGGCCUCCAUUCGCUCCGCGGGUGGCCUUCAUGGUGAACAAAACACAUGACCCCGAGUACCCGAGGCGGAAGGUGUCCGGCAUCAGUGCUCAGAAAGUUGUUCCACCUUCCACCAAGAUGCUGGAUGAGGAGGACACUGACAAAGACGGGAUGAGUUUGGAGGUCGACACUCCAGUGACGAACCAUCGGGGUGACGACGACGAUGACGAAGAAGAUCUCCCCGAGAUAGUGCUGGAUGACGUGCCUGCGGUGAGGGUGGCGGGACGGCCUCCAUUCGCUCCGCGGGUAAGUUGGGUUUUUAGUCUGAGCUCGCAGUGUUGCUCUAUUUCCCCUCCGUGGACAUUAAGUUAUGACAGCCUGAGCCUGCACGUUCCAGACCAUGUGGACGGUUCCGAGGGUUGGGACUCCAUGUCAGGCGCGUCUGUUGCCAACUCCCGAUGCCUGCUUCCGCAGGGCAAUGCGAUAACAACACCUGUCCCAGCCUGCAGAGGACAGAGCUCCUUCUCCAGAAGCAUCUUUUCCUCGAGGAAAGAGUUCUGUCAUCUCCAACUGACAUGGCCUUGGACAUCCCGUCGUCUAGGACAAGUUCUUGCCUUUGUCCCCGAGGAGGGUUUGCUCUGCCUUUGCUGGGUUCUCUGGACUCCACCGCUGUUGUGCAUCGGGGUUUCUGCUG
rnacentral:lncRNA from 9 species